CUCCCAUUCCCACCACCAUGUUCAACAGGGAUCACAUUUCAGUUAAUUUUCAACACUUAAGAAUAACUGUGCAUCAAUUACAGAUCUAAACCAGUCAUAUUAAGUAGAACAGAUAAAAAAAACUACUAAGAGGGAUAAUGUAUUAAGUUGUUCAUUAACAGUCAGGGCUAUGCUGAUCAAGCCACCAUUUCCCAUAGUGUCCACCUCACUCCAACAGGUUUCCCUCUUGGUGUUCAGUCAGUCGUCACCGAUCAGGGAGAACAUAUGGUAUUUGUCCCUUUGGGACUGGCUUAUUUCACUCAGCAUGAUGUGUUCCAGAUUCCUCCAUUUUGUUGCAAAUGACUGGAUUUCGUUGUUUCUUACUGCGGUAUAGUAUUCUAAAGAGUACAUAUCCCAUAAUUUCUUUAUCCAGUAACUGCUAGUUCACUCCCCAGUUGGCCGCAUCAGCCGGAGCUGCGCCGAUCUGAAUCCAGGGGCCAGGAGCUUCCUCCAGGUCUUCCCAUAGGGGUUCAGGGGCCCAAGGACAUGGACUAUCUUCUACUGCUUUCCCAGGGCAUAAUAGAAAGCUGUAUCGGAAGUGGAGCAGCCGGGACUCGAACCAGCGCCCAUAUGGGAUCCCAGCACUGCAGACAGCAGCUUUUCUUGCUACGCCAUGGCACCGGCCUAAUCCAUGAACUUUUUGAAGUACCCUACUUUGCUUAUUAGUCUUUCUGGGCUGGCCGGGCCUACGCAUUUGGGACCCUACCUUGAGUUAGCUCCUGAGUAUAAACUCAGUUCCUGUUCACAGUGCCUUCUAUUACUUAGAAAAUUCUGUCUCUGGAGCUAUUUAUUAGGAGCAGGGGUCAAAGGCCAGAUUAUAUCACAGUUAACUUCUUCUAUUUUGCUUCUUUAGUAAGAUUUUUGUUGUUAGGAGCACAAAUGAUUGCUCACAUGGAGGGUUAUAUUUACAAAGUGAAGGGGAUAGUAAGCAGUAACGGGAUAGGGACUUUGGCCGUACUACUGGGAGAUAAGAACUAGGAUGCCACUGGAAAAUGCAGGCAUCUGGCGGAAAGAACGCUUUUUGUGGCUGUGUGUGCUGUGCUUUCCUGUUCUGUCCUCACGUUGUCCCCAAUUGCCUUGCUCUCUCCUCUGGCUUUCUUCACCCUAGAGCUUUGCUGCUUUAUUGCGAUUUCUGUUUCCUCAUGAAUCCUUAGAGCUCCAGUUCUGGCUCCUACCUGGUUAUGCCUAUUUGCAACUUGAGCUCUUGGUAAUGGUUGGCCUGUCCGCAUGACUGGCUGUUUCCUCGGCUGGGUGGUUGGGGUUUGAGAGCAGUAGUCUUGGCGCCCAGGAAAGUGAAGUUUCCCUUUGAAGUAAGUGGAGCACAGUCUUAGUUAUAGUGGAAAGCACUUCUAAAACAUGAAAAUGUUUCUCUUUAGGGAAUAUUGAAAAUCUUGAGGAUAUUAAGCAUAUCAGUGAUUUUCCUAAUACCAAAAGAAUGUGACAUAUAAUUUGAGUUUGGUGUAUUUAGAUAAAUGUUUGGCUCUGGAUUUAUUUUUCUAAAACAGAAUUCUGAACUAAGACCAAAUCAGUAUAUUUGCUGAGUAGUUUGUCUUUUUCAUGAGUCUGACAUUUUAAGUAAAAAAAUGUUUUCUGCUUUUCUUUGUCCCAAAUGGGUAAUCAUGUGUUCCAUGUUAAUGACCUCAUCCUUUUGCUCACUGGUUUGUAAAUGCAACUUUGUCUUUCUGUCUUCAGAUACAGAAGCCAUCAAAUAAAAUUGAUAAAUGUAGCUCCAUAGAAAAUAUUCUUGAAGUAAUUUAAAAUAUUUUUGAAAAAUAUGUGUGAAAAGGCACUUUUAAAUUGAGUCAAAAGAAAAAUGAGAAACUGGGGGAAAUAUUUGGAACACAUACUACCAAGUGUUUAAUCUCCAUUAGUAUAUAAAAACGCUUCUUAAAAAUAGUGAAAAAUUGAAUUACUCUUGUCAAAAGUGAGUAGUGGUUAUGAACACAGAGUUCACAGAAGAAGACACUUAAAACCUGGGAAAGAAUGCUCAAGGACAUUUAUAAGAGAAACACAAAAUAAAACUAUAGAAUGUUAAUAAAAGCGUACUCCAAAAAAAUGUAUGGAACCUGAAGUGAAAAGAUAAGUUUAUUUUCGUGCAAAAAUUUUGAAAUCGUUUCCAAAAAGUUCAUGAAAAAUGUAUAGUAUGAAAAAAACUGAUUGUACUGCAAUAAACUUUAAAUUCUGUUUUCUGCUAACUUUUUGAAAUACCCUAGUACUUUUGAAGGGCAUUAUGGAGAUAUUGAGAUAUUUAUUAAAAAAAAAUUGCCUUUAUUCUUUGGUCCAGACCCUGCAUACCACCAAACGGGAAGCAAGUUGUGUAUUUAACAUGGCAGAGUGUUUUACAAUAGCUAAAGAUUGGAAAUAACCUAGGAGCCUAUCAACAAAACUGGACAAACAGAUGUAUUCUCGUCUAGGAUAUUGUAAAAGUGAAUAAGCAAGUAGUUUCUGCAGGGAUAACGCAUUUCAAGGGUAUAUUAUGUAAACAAAGUAAGAUGUAUAAAAGGUAAUGUAUAAAAUUAAUGUUUCCUUUUGUGAAAGAAAAUGUGCAAAAUAUAUGUGUUUGUUUAUGUUUAAGAAAAAAUUAACACUGAGAUAUCAAAGUGGUUACUUGUGAGUGCUGGGAGAAUAGGGCACUGUAUCCAGGGUGAGAGAAAAAAAUGUUCUUUAUGUAAUUGUUUUUGGUAGCAGGUGUGAUAAGUUCUGAAGGUUCAGGUGACGUGUUUUUUCUUUUUUCUCUGGUAAGAUAUAUAUGUGUGUGUGUGUGUAUAUAUAUAUAUACACAUAUAAAAUUUGCCACUUUAAUUACUUAUAAGUGUACUUAUAAUUCAGUGGCAUUUCUAUGUAUUGUUGAUUUCAACUUUUGAAAUUGUUGUUGUAAUUUAUAUACUGGCAUGUGUUUCUGAAGUGUAUUGUGUUCAUUGAUUUGUCGAUUCUUUUAUCACACUGACUUUAUUGUUGCCUUAAACUGUUUUAAUAUGAGAUUUUUUAAAAAGCUAACUCCUAAUAACUAUUUUCACUAAUGUAUUUCUGUUUUCUGCAGUUAGCUUUAUUAUUAACUGUGUAAAACAAAUGCUUGUUUUGUCAUGGGUAUGGGUCAUAUAAUUAGUCAUACAAUAGUGUACAUUCUUUUGUCUUUGAAUCAUAUCAUGGAAGCCUGGAGUAAUUUCCAGAAUAUUUUCAGUUUCCAGGAAUCUAAAAUUAUGACUUACUAAUCUGUCUGACUCAAGUUCUACUUGGGGCUUCCUUUGACCUACAGUGGUAACUCUGAGAGACGAAAUACAACUAUCCCAAGGUGUCUGUGUAUCUUAUGGUAGUUUUAGUGACGGAUCUGCAGUUGGUAAUUGAUAAUUUUGGAUCCUUUAUUUUUCAUGUGAAGAGACCACAUGAUAUCUCUGUCAUUAUUUGCGAUCAAACAACUAGCAUAUUGUAUAAACAUUGUAUGCUGUGUUUGAAAUUUCAUUGUUGUCAUGUAGGAUAUAGACAUCCCCUCUUUCCGUAGAUUGUAUGAAUUUCUUAAAACCAGUGAGCUUCUGCUGUAUUCUUGGAACUUUUGCAGAGAUCCUGUAAGCAUUAACACUUAGUGACUAGGUUAGGUUGGAAUAAUUUAAGGCUGUCUCCCAUCUUGCCGUCAGCCUGGUAGUGAUUUGGUUUCUGCUGCUGAUAUGUAAGUACCAAAAGACAAAAGUAUGUGUCCCUGCUUACAAAGGAUGUUUCUCCUCUUAGAAUGUUAUGACUCCAACUCUUACAACUGUGCCUGAUGCAUGGUGGGUGCCCUAAAAAUGUUGAAUAAACAUUAAUGGUGGAUCUCUUGUCAUGCAUGUAAAACUAUAUGUAUCGGUCUCCUAAAUUCAAGUAGCAUGUUACACAUUCAUUUAUAUUUUUACAUAACCUAUACUUUUAUCUUUGGGCACUUGAACUAUAUAUGUAUAUAUGAUAAAUUUAUGUGCAAAGACUAUAUGCACAUUUGAAAAUUGGUCUCAUUAGAUUGCCCUUGAGAAUGUUCUGGUUUUACUAUCACACACAGGUAAGUAUUGUCCAAACUGUUACUGCAUGCAUUUGGUAAAUAAUAUAAAAUUUCACUUAUACUUAAGUUGGUCUAGUCAAGAGUCUGCUUUCCACCCCAAUUUCCUAGUCCUGAGUCUUUCUUGGAAGGACAAUUAAUUUCAAGUGUCACUUUACAGAAAUACCCUCUUCGUGUGUAAGACAGUAGUCCUGUUAUGAAGUCAGUAUAUUGUGGAAGCAGUAGCUUGAUAAAAACUUAAAAAUAAGAGAUCUAAGAAUCCAUGUUUGAUAGUAAUACAUAAGCACAUAACCUAAAUAAAAAUCUGGUAAAGGGGCCAGGAUUGUGGUGCAGCAGGUUAGGCUACCACCUUUCACAGUGGCAUCACAUAUUGGGGUGAUUACUGUAGUUCAGGCGACUCCACUGUGAUCUAGCUGCCUGUUAAUGUUCCUAGUUGGGCAGCAGAACAUGGCUCAAGUGCCCCGGGAACCUGCCAUCCUGCCCAGGAUGGAAUUCCUGGCUUUUGACCUCUGGCUAGUCCAGACCUUGCUAUUGUUGUCAUUUGGGUAGUGAAGCAGUGGAUGGCAGCUUGCUCGCUUGCUCUCUCUCUCUCUCCAUUCCCCGCCCCUGUCCCCUCAGGCUUCUCUUCUUCCACCCUACCUUGCUCUGCCUUUCAAAUAAAUAAAUAAACGUGGGAAAAAAAAAGCUUGGCAAAAGGAAUCCAGAAACAAAUUCAUAACUAAUAAUUUAAAAAGUAAGUGAUGUUCAUACCAAUUAUAUAAGGAUGAUUCAAUUUUAGGUAAUCUGAAUAUAAUUGGCCAUUUUAGUAGAUCAAAGGCAGAAAAUAUUACAUGAGCAGCUGUAUAAAUUGAGUUUCCUUUUAGUGCUUUUAUGAGUUUUUAAAUUAUUGAUUCAUUUGGAUCUUUUUUAGAGCCUUUUUUUUUUAAAAAAAGAUUUAUUCCAUCAUUUAUUUGAAAGGCAGAGCCGAAAGAGAUCUUCCAUCUGCUUUUUCACAACCCAAAUAAAUACUUGUCACAGCUGGGGCUGGGCCAAGCAGAAGCCAGGAGGCCAGAAUGACAUCUGGGUCUUCCUCCCAUUGGGUGGCAGGGACUCAACUACUUGGGCCUUCAUCUGCUGCUUCUCUGGGCCUUUCUUGGCUUAUUAGCAGGAAGCUGGGACAUGAAUUGAACCAGCGCUCUGAUAUGGAAUGUGAGCUUCCCAAGUGGUGGCUUAACCCACUGAGUCAUGCCGGACCCUCCCUGGAUCUUAUUUUGAUAACAGCAACCAUAUAAUGUUCUCACAUGUCAUUUUAAAUGGCUAGUCUGUUGUCUCAAUAUUAUUUAUUAAAAAUUCAUCUUUAGCUAAUUUAAAAUGAUCAAAUACUAUAUUAUAUUUGGUAUCAAGUACUGAAUUUAUUUGGAUCUACUAAUGAUUUUAUAGGCUUGUGUCAGUAUGGAAUUUUUCCUGGGACAGUAUGGAAUUUUUUGACUAUGUAAAUAUUAUAAAUAUUUCCUUCUCUGCUGCCUGUCUACAUUUAGAUUUAUAUGAUGCUGUUCCAUAUACUUUACAGAUUUGGUUCUAUUUUAAUAAUAUUUGAGUCAAUGAGCAUUCAUUUGGAUGGUUCUUGAGUGUUCUGCUGCAGCAACUUACCCAGGUGUUCGCCAUGUUGAAUGUUUUCAUUCUUACAUUCUGUGUAAAGUGUGCAUGGGUGCCUGGUUUUUCCCUGGUUUUGAUGAGGGUACUUCAAAAAGUUCAUCAAAAUAGGAUCAAAAGGUAAGUUAAAUUUAAACUAUUUGAGAGGCAGAGAGGAAGAGAAAGCUCCCAUCCAGUGGUUCAUUCCCGCAAAUACCUGCAAUGACCAAGACUGAGCUGGGGCUAAAGUUGAGAGCUAAGAAAGCAGUCCAGGUCUCCCAUGUGAGUGGCAGGAACACAAUUACUUGAGUUGUCACCAACUGCCUUCCAGGGCCUGCAUCAUCCAGAAGCUGGAGUUGGAAGCCGGAGCUGGAAAUUGAAUGGAGGUACUGUGAUGUGGGAUUUGGCUAUUGGAACCACUAGGCUAAACACCUAAUCCCUAAUAGCUUUAUUUUGAUGCAAAAGAUUUUGAAAUCCAUUUAUAGUUUUCUCAUAAUACAGAUCACCAUGAACUUUUUGAAGCCCUUUUUUAUACAUGGAUUUGAAGAUACUUUUGUACCAAAAUAAAUUUUAUUAAUUCCAAUUCUAUGAAUUUUUUGUUAUUUUUGAUUUCCAUUUUUCUAAUUAAGAGGUAGAGAAAAAGAUCUCCCUUCUGCUGGUUCCUUCCCCUAAAUUCCUACAACAGACAAUCCAGAUCAUCCGCAUGGGUGACAGGGGCCCAAUUAUUUGAGUCAACACCUGUUGCUUCGCAGGGUACACAUUACCAGGAAGCUGGACUAUGGAGUGCAGCUAGGACUCAAAGUUUCAGAUAUGGAUUAACUGCCCAGCCAAAUGCCUGCUGGUAAAGUUUUUGAAGUAUGCUGGUAUUUUUUUUCCAGCCAGAUCCUGUGAAGGUUUCACAUUUUGUAUAUACAUGCAUUUACUUUUGUAAAAAAAAAAAAAAAAUUUACAUGCUAAAAUAAAUACAUAAGGAGCUUAUAUUUUAGUUGUAUUGCAUGUAAUAAAGUAACAGUAAUGCUGUAUCAGAAACAGAAUAGUAUCUCACAAUCUCUUCAUUGCAUGUCUGUUAUCAUACUUUGCAUGUGUUCCUAGUUGAAUCAUAAAUCAAUUUUAUGGGAUGUGUCAUGAUUGUCAUUCAUAGAGUCCUCUGCCUUGCCAUGGAUUUUUGUGUGGCUUACACAGGACUCUGAUACACAAGUCAUACAAUUUUGUGUUCCUAACAGCAUCAGUUUUGGCAUUUAAUGUGUGACUCUGGGCUAUGCAUUACAAUAUUUGGCCCUUGGUUAGAGAAGAAAAUUCAUGUAUGCUGUAAUUAUGUAACAAUUUAUUUAGGAGCUCCUUACUAAUCAGCCUUCAGUUUUUCUUCACAGAUAAUGAGUCAGUGAAAAGUUAAUCUGUGUUCUGUGUAGAUUUCUGUUUAAUUUCUACACAAUGACAUCUGUUGAAAAGUUGAGGAAAAUAAUGCAGUUUUCACUAACGAGUUUUAUAAAUUGCCUCUCAAAAAGUAUUUUAUACUGCAGUGUUCUUAUUCCACCAUUUUGUAGUGUUGUUUCAUGUAGUUUUCUUCAAAAUACUUAAGAUUUGUAGUGCUUUUACUUACUAGCCUUACAUCACAAGACGGGUUUUCCAGAACUUUGCUUGCAUAUCUCACAAGGAUAGCAUGAAUUUAAUAUUAGUAUAAUUUCUAGCAUACUGGGCGAUCACAGUUUGUGAACCUAAUUGUAGGGUAAAAUUUGGGGGUAGGGCACCCACGGUGCUUUGUAUCUAAUAAUUUUAUAAUAAACUUUUGUUUCAGAAAAGUUAGAAAGGUAAUACAGUGAGUGUUCAUGCCCCAACCCAGUUUCCCCUGUAUACGUCACAUAUUGUCACAUUCUUCUGAGCCUUUGGUAACCUCCUUUCUGCUGUCAGCCUCUGUGAAUUUGUCUAACCUGGAUAUUAUCAUAAAGAAUCUGUUUUUUUUUUUCACUUUACAUGAUGUCUUCAAGGUUCUUCCCUAUUUUUAUUUUAUUGAAUGUAUAUACCACAUUUUGUUUAUAUGCCACAUAUAGUCAUACAUACAUGCUGAUAUACAUGUGUGUCUCGGGUGAUAUACUGCAAUUUGUGUAUCUGGUGUUCAUGCAUAGUACUGCCCUGGAACAUGCAUGUAAUGCCUUUGUUAAUUGCAUAAUUUUAGUGGCUAAUUAACUUGAUCAUGAUAAACUGUAUAAUAGAGAUUUAAUACUUUAAAAAAAUCCUGAAAUUGUGCAGUACUAAGACACAAUUUCAUUCCACUGAACUAUGAAGCGGCCAUAUCAAUAUUCAAACAGGCUAUUCAGAAGUUAACAAAAAUGUUUGCCUAUUCUUGGGGGCAUUACUUCUUAUUCUUUUCCUUCAUUAUUAAAAUUAAACAAUCACACCAAGUAAAAUACUUUUGUGGUUGAAAUUUUUUUUAAAGAUUUAUUUAUUUAUUUGAAAGAGUUACACAGAGAGAAGAGAGGCAGAGAGAGAGAGAGAGGUCCUCCAUCCAAUGGUUCACUCCCUAACUGGCUGCAGUGGCUGGAGCUGGGCCUACCUGAAGCCAGGAACCAGGAGCUUCUUCCGGGUCUCCCACGUGGGUGCAGGGGUCCAAACACUUGGGCCAUCUUCCACUGUUAUCCCAGGCCAUAGCAGAGAGCUGGAUCGGAAGUGGAGCAACCAGCACUUGAAAUCAGCGUCCCUAUGGUAUGCUGCACUGCAGGCAGCAGUUUUAGCAACUAUGCCACAGCAUGCCCCUCCCUCUCUUUUUUCUUUCCUAUUUCUUCUAUAUUCUCUGAGGGUGUUAGGCAGUUUCUUUAUGUAAGAAGUUUGAGUCUAUAUAACUCAGGGUUAUAAGGAAUUGCUUUAUCCCCCAGAAUACUGUGUAUAAAAAUAUAAAAGCUGUAGUUAGUCUUCAAAAUUUUGAGAAGUAAUUUAGUAUAAAUGAUCAAAGUUUGUGCAAUCACUUGGAUCAUUACUAUAUUUCUGCCUAGUGGGUAUAUUGGUAUUUUCAGGUGUCUCUUAGGUAAAUUUUCCUAUCUUUAGAUGGGAGUGCAUAGAAACCUCUCAUUUGGACCAUGAUCAUUUCAGAAAAUUUCCUUUUUAAACAUUAGGAUUAUUUUUGUAAAACCUGAAUGUAAAGAUAGUUAACAUAGGGAACAUUUUUGUGUGCGUAUUCCUGACAGUUUCAUUUAUUUUCAACUGAACUGGUUACAGAUCUGAUAGGUCGUUUUUAACCUUUUUUUUUUUUUUAAAUUAAAAAAAUUUUUUUUGACUGGCAGAGUGGACAGUGAGAGAGAGAGAAAGGUCUUACUUUGUUGUUGGUUCACCCUCCAAUGGCCGCCGUGGCCUGCACGGUAUGACUGGCACACCCCGCUGAUCCGAAGGCAGGAGCCAGGUACAUCUCCUGGUCUCCCAUGGGGUGCGGGGCCAAGCACUUGGGCCAUCCUCCACUGUACUCCCGGGCCAUAGCAGAGAGCUGGUCUGGAAGAGGGACAACCGGGACUAGAACCCGGUGUGCUGGCGCCGCUAGGUGGAGGAUUAGCCUAGUGAGCCGCGGCGCGGGCCUGUCGUUGACCUUUUUACAUGUGUUUAGGUAGUCAGGCAAUCAGACCCACAUUGGAGAAACAGUUCUUGAUCUUCCAUCCAUACAUCUCUUGACACUUACUCAUUCUAUCCUCUGACACACAUAAGCCCUUUUCGUUCUUCAGUCCUCCAUCCGCUGCUUUCCAUUUUCAGCACUGUCCUGGGAUGCCCUUUUCAUUUCUCUUUCCCUAAAUGAUUUUAGCAAGGUUAUGCUGUGUGUUUAAUCUGCUUUUCCAGCACUUUUUUUUUUUUUUUUUUUGACAGGCAGAGUGGACAGUGAGAGAGAGAGAGACAGAAAGAAAGGUCUUCCUUUGCCGUUGGUUCACCCUCCAAUGGCCACCGCAUGGUGCUGAUCUGAAGCCAGGAGCCAGGUGCUUUUCCUGGCCUCCAAUGUGGGUGCAGGGCCCAAGCACUUGGGCCAUCCUCCACUGCACUCCCGGGCCACAUCAGAGAGCUGGCCUGGAAGAGGGGCAACCAGGACAGAAUCCGGCGCCCCGACUGGGACUAGAACCCGGUGUGCCAGCACCGCAAGGCGGAGGAUUAGCCUAGUGAGCCGUGGUGCCAGUUUCCAGCACGUCUUUAUCAAGUACAGGUAUAUUCUUCAUUAUUUACCUCUUUUUCUUUUCUUUUUUUUUUAACGAUUUAUUUAUUAGGCAGAGAGAAAGAGAGGAAAGGAGGGAGGGAGAGGUCGGUCUUCUAUCCGCUGGUUCACUUCCCAAUUGUCUGCAAUGGCUGGAGCUGUGCUGAUCUGAAGCCAGGAGACAGGAGCUUCUUGGAAGUCUCCCAUGUGGAUGCAGGUUCCCAAGGACUUGGGCCAUUUUCUACUGCUUUCCCAGACCAUAGCAGAGAGCUGGAUUGGAAGUGGUGCAGCCACGACUUGAACUGGCAUCCGUAUGGGAUGCCAGCAUUGCAAGUGCUAGCUUUACCAGCUAUGCCACAGCGCUGCCCCCCACCCCCUUUUUAAAAGAUUUUAUUUAUUUUAUUUGAGAGUUAGAAUUACAGACAGUGACAGGGAGAGACAGAAAUGUUUUCCUUCCGUUGGUUCACUCCCCAAAUGGCCGUGAUGGUCAGAGCUGUACUGAUCCCAAUCCAGGAGCCAGGGAGCUUCCUCCAGGUCUCUCAUGCGGGUGCAGGGUUGUAGGGGCCCAAGUACCUGGGCCAUCUUCUGUUUUCCCAGGCUAUAGCAGACAGCUGGAUUGGAAGAGGAUGAACCGGGACUCGAACCAGCAUUCAUAUGGGAUGCUGGUACUGCAGGCGGAUGAUUAACCUACUGCGCCACGGUGCUGGCUGUAUGGCCCCUUAUUCUUUAAUUAAAUGUUCUAUUCCAGACAGCAGUUGCUUUCCUAUAGUAUUCUUUUUCAAAUAAUAGCCUUUUGAUAAUGAUAGUUAAAGUUAACGUAGCAUACAUUAAAUGUUAUACACUCGUCUGUGUACGUUAACUCAGUUGUAUGCUUAGGAAGUAAAUUCUAAUUUUUUUUCACAUGGGGUAAUUGAUGUUAGAGCAUCAAUUAUGCUCAGUAACAGUACCCCCAAAUAUUUAUUUGAGAGGCAGAAUGACAGGGAGAAACAGAGUGCUUUGAUGCCCUGUUUCGCUUCCAAAAUCCCACAGUUAAUGGUGCUGGGCCAGACUAAAGCCAGGAAUCAGGAACUUCAUCUGGUUUUCCUCCUACAGGUGUGGUAGGGACUUAAGUACUUGAGCCGUCCUCUGUUGCCUCCUAGGCACAUUAGCAGGAAGUAGAGUAGUUUCAACUUAAACUAGGCAGUCUGAAGUGGCAUGCCAGGUUGGCAAUGCCCCAAGAAGUGGCUUUAACUCUGCACCCCAGUGUCUACUCCAAGUGAAGUUCUUUUCACCAUCCAGUGGUGACUGCUUUAGGAAGAACAGCAAAGCAGAAAGUCAUAAAAGCUUAAAGCAUAGAUUUGUCAGGAUUAAAUGGGAUGCCUCCCUGGUAAGACACAUCUGGAUUUUUUUUGUUUUUUAAAGAUUUACUCAUUCAUUUGAAAGAGUUAUAGAGAGAGGCGAGGCAAAGACAGAUCUUCCAUCUGCUGAUUGCCUAAAUGGCCACAACGGCCAGAGCUGGGGCUGUCUGAAACCAGGAGGUUCUUCUGGGUCUCCCACGUGGUUGCAGGGGUCCAAGCUCAUGGGCCACCCUCUGCUGCUUUCCCAGGAGCAUUAGGAGGGAGCUGGAUUGGUAGUGUAGCAGCUGGUAGUCCAAUGGGCAGCCAUAUGGGAUAGGCGGGAGCCUAUCCUGGUAAUUUACAAUGCCAGCCCUGACAUUCCUGGGUUUGAGUGAUAUUUCCACAUUUGAAUUUCAAACUUGGCAGGAACAAUGUACCAAACAGAAGGCCACUUCCUCCACAGGUUGUUUUUUUUUUUUUUUUUUUUUUUUUCGCAACAGCCAAACCUAUAUAGUGUUCUAAGUAAUUUUUUAAAAAAUAUUUAUUUAUUUGAAAGGCAAAUGAGAGAUAGACAGCUUCCAUGUGCUGGUUCAUUCCCCAAAUGACUGUGACAGCCAGGGCUGGACCAGGCCAAAGCCAGGAGCCUGGAACCCUAUCCUGGUCUUAGAUGUGGGUGGCAGGAACCCAAGCACCUUGCCCAUCAUCUGCUGCCUUCCUAGGCACAUAAGGGAGCUGGAUCUGAAGACAAAGAACCUGAACUCAAACUGGCAAUUGGGAGUAGUGGCUUAAGCUCCUGUGUCACAAUCUGUCUCCCCACCACUUUCAUGGAUUCUAAUUGAUGUAUUUAUCAAUUCUCAUGCCUUUUUUUUUUUUUUAAUUUGUUUAUUUGAAAGACACAGAGAGAGGUCUUUGCAGGGACCCAAGGACUUGGGCCAUGUUCUACUGCUUUCCCAGGCCAUAGCAAAGAGAUCAGAAGUGUAGCCGCUGGGACUUGAACCUGGGCCCAUAUGGGAUGCUGGUACUUCAGGCUGCAGCUUUACCCACUGUGCCAUAGCGCCAGACCCGUCAUUGCCUUUCACGGGCAGGUUAUCAAACCAAUAGAAGUUCAGAACUUUACCAAAAAUAACUUGUCAGUAAGUUGUAGGAUUCCUUUUCAAAUCCAUGUCUUAGUGUAGGACACUAACCUCUUAAUUGCUGCAUUUAGAUUAUAUGGUGUUGUCCUCUGACUUGCCUCGAUACCUGUGGCUUUUUUGAUAUUUCUCCUCAUGAUGUCCUAACAACCUUAUCACAAACAAGAUUUUUCAACUUGACCACAUUCCCUUGAAGAAGCCAUUAAAUGUGAGACCCGUUCUGCUCCAGACUAUUCCAUUUGGCUUCCCAAGUAGAGGAUUGCCUUUUGAUUGUCUACCAAGACCAAGAGGUUACUGGGAGCCAGUCUGCUGUAUAGCCUCAAGGGGAAUCUUCAGGGGUUGUUUUCGUGGCCUUUGAGGUCUUCAUCAUCUAUUGCAGUUAUGUCAGGCGAGGAAUCAGUGUAACUUGCUCUCUGCAAUAUUGCUGCGAAGAGGGGAAGUUUUCUUCAUUUAUACAGCAGAGUGUAUUUUGUUAAUACAAUGGAUUGUGCAGUUAUCUGGAGAACUCAUCAACAAUGUAACUUUCCUGUUCUAAAACCAACAUUUUAUGUCUAUGUUCCUACUUCGUGUUACCAAUUCAGAGCUUUGCAUGUAUUCUUUUCCUUGCAACCUUUAAUUAUUAUGAUGUUAAUAUCAUGGGCAUUGUGUAGAUGAAAGUGAAAUAGAAUUUUGUCUAUCAGAAUGCUUUUUCUAUUAUAGUCUGAAGAUUCAGUUGAUUGCAGUUUAUAAUCCAAGUAAAUUUUUGAUUUGUUUAGGACAUAGUUCAAAGAGAUGUAUGGAUAAUUUCAUUUAUUUGAGAGGGAGAGCGAGAGAGGUCUUCAUCCAUUGGUUUACUUCCCACAUGGCCACAGUGGCCAGAGGUGAACCAUUUAGCAUUAGGCUGUCCCCUGGUAGACAACAUGCUGCUGCUUCGGAAGACCUGCUGCAUCUGCAGAAAAUUCAACCAAGUCUCCAGGGACACUGCAACUGCCAUAGAUGCUCUGGGUUUUUCAGUAUGCCUCCAGAGCCUGAAGGUAAGCGGUGUGUGCAUUUGCUCUCAGCGGAUGAUUACAUAAUGAGGGCCCAUCAAUUGAGUAUUAAGACAGAGGGCUGGGGCUGGGUUUGGGGUGGCAUUUUGAGGUUUCCCUGGGGUACAUUCAAAACUCAGACAAAAUGCAUGCACACAUGUCCCCCUGCCCCAGAAUGACCAGAGCAGGGCCGAUCGGAAACCAGGUCCCAAAAGCUGCUUCUGGGUCUGCCACGUGGGUGCAGCGGCCCAAACGCUAGGGCCAUCCUCUGCUGCUUUUCCAGAUGCAGUAUCAGGGAGCUGGAUCUGAAGUGGAGCACCCCAGGUUUCAACUGCCACCACAGUUGUUGGUGCCUUUACCUGCUACACCUCAGCGCCAACUCCAUUAGCCUUUUCACAUUCUUUAGUUUUUGAAGUUAGGGGAUUUUUAUUUUAUUUUUUUAAAUUUAUUCGUUUGAAAGGCAGAGUGUGGACCAGCGCUGUGGCUCAGCUGGCCUGAAGAGCCAGCAUCCCAUAUGGGUGCCAGUUCAAGUCCUGGCUGCUCCUUUUCUGAUCCAGCUCUCUGCUAUGGCUGGGAUAGCAGUGGAAGAUGGCCCAAGUCCUUUGGCCCCUGCACCCACGUGGGAGACCCGGAAGGAGCUCCUGGCUCCUGGCUUCACAUCUGCGCAGCUCUGGCGGUUGUGGCCAUCUGGGGAGUGAAGACCUCUUCCACCCGCUGGUUCACUCUCCAAAUGGGUGUGUUGGCCAGGUCUGGGCCUGGCCUGAAGCCAGGAGCCUGGGACUCCAUCUGGGUCUCCCACAUGAGUGGCAGGGGCCCAUGUACUUGGGUGAGCAUCUGUUGCUUUCCCAGGUGCGUUGUCAGGGAGCUGGAUUGGUACUGCAGCAGCCAGAAUUCGAAUUUGCAACCAUACAGGAUACUGGCAUCAAAGGCUAUGGCUUUGCCCACAGUGCCCCAAUGCCUGCCUCCAAUUUCUGGAAUUUUAAAAUCAUGGCUUCUCAUCUGUAAAAUCACAAAAUGGGAAUAGGCCAUAGGAGUGGGACAGUAAUUCUGUAAGAACAUUUUGGGGUGGGGGAGAUGGUUAUGGGUGGUUGUCCAAGGGUUUGGGGCAGAAGGGGAACAUGAUCUAUCUGGAGUGUGUUUCAAAGGAGAGAACUACAGUGCUUUGAACAUAUAGCCUGUCUACGAAGAAAUAUGAUCUCAGCGGCGUUCUUGUCACACCCAACCCUACCCCUGCAUCUUGUUGACAAAAUGUAGCCCCUUUGUUAACCCCAUCAAGAUGAUCCUGAGUGUCUUGGGCAGUAGCCUAUGAUCUGUACCUUGAAGGUGAGUUCACACACUGGGUGAGGGAGCACUUUGUUUAGGUCCUCAGGGCAGCAGGAGAGUGGAGUGGCAUGGAUGGAAGAGUGAGGAUCCGGCAAUCUAUCCAGUUCUACUGUCAAGGGUGGCUGAAGUUCUGUUACAUAGCCCUAUCUGGGAGCCACUCUGGUGAGCAGUGACUUAGAAGUGGCAAAGAAAUUUUUUUGUGUGGAAUUAAAGAUUUAUUUACUUAUUUGAAAGGCAGAGUUACAAAGAGGCAGAGAGAGAGAUAGGUUUUCCAUCCACUGGUUCACUCAAAUGGCUGCAACAGCUGGAGCUGGACCGAUCUGAUGGCAGGAGCCAAGAGCUUUUUCCACGUCUCUCAUGUGGCUGCAGAGACCGCUGCACCAAUCCGAAGCCAGGAGCCAGGUGCUUCUUCCUGGUCUCCCAUGCAGGUACAGGGGCCCAAGCACUUGGGCCAUCCUCCACUGCCCUCCUGGCCACAGCAGAGAGCUGGACUGGAAGAGGAGCAACUGGGACUAGAACCCGGCGCGCACAUGGGAUGCCAGCGCUGCAGACGGAGGAUUAACCAAGUGAGCCACGGUGCUGGCCCCUAAAAUUGCAUUUUUAAUUUUUUAUUUGAAAUUCAGACUGUGAGGGAAAAAGAGAGCUUACAUACCCUAUAUAUUCCCCAAACUGCUGCAAUGGUGAGGGCUGGGCCUGGGCACAGCCCAGAAUUCCAUCCAUUGGUCUCAGAUGGUUGGCAGCAGUCCAAGCACCUGGGUCAAUCUUGGCUGCUUUCAUAUGAGAUGCUUGUGUUGCAGGCAAUGGCUUAAUUAGCUGUACAACAGUGCCAACCCCUUUUUUUUUCUUUAAAGAUUUUUAGAGAGCUAUUGCAGUCAUCUGGGGGUGACCCAGUGGAAAGAAUGUAUUUGUCACUUAUCCUUUCAAAUUUUUUUUCUUAGCAUUUAUUCAAGGCACAGUGAUGUGAUGGAGGGAGAUCUGCCUUCUGCUGGUUCAUUCCCGUAAAUGCCUGCAACAGCCAGAUCUUUGUCCUGGCUGAAGCCAGGAGCUAGGAACUACCAUCUGGUGUCCCAAUGGUGUUACUGGACCGAAUUACUUGGACCAUAGUCUGCUUCCUGUAUGUACUAGCAGGAAGCUGGACAGGAAGUGGAGAAGCUGGGACUAUAACCAGGGUCAUCAGUAAGAGAUGGUGGGCAUUCCAGGUGACAGCUUAAGCCACUAUGCCAUGGUGCCUGCCUCUUUUAGCUAAGUGAGGUUGUGCUAUAAUGUGGAGAGUUCAGGGGACUUGCAUUGGACUGGGAAAAUAUGAAAGACAUUGCAUGACUUAUAUUAGGCCUAGAGAAUGAAGGUUGUGGUGUGAUGGUUUUGAGCCAGAACAAUGAUCGUAUUCCUCUAUCUAAGAAUGUAUGUGGAAGAUUUGCCAGGAAGAGAGCCCCUGCUUUGAAAAGCAGGAGGAUGAAUGAGCCUGAGGGAGGUAGUGCAUUUUCCUUGUGCUACACACUACCUAAUUGAGCUGGGAGAUGCCUGCCAACCUCGAGAAAAGUAAUCUUAGAUCACUGCCCCUAGGAAUGUCCAUAGCGUACCUUUUGUUCAGUACACCCCUUAGCUGUUCUUUAACUUGAUAAGGUAGUUACUGUGCUUAGCUUUUAGGGCCUUGGGACCCUUAUGCUUCUUGGGCUCAAAUCCCAAUAUCCCAUGUUAAAAGCAAGAAUAAGCCGGCGCCGUGGCUCAGUAGGCUAAUCCUCCACCUUGCGGCGCCGGCACACCGGGUUCUAGUCCCGGUUGGGGCGCCGAUUCUGUCCCGGUUGCCCCUCUUCCAGGCCAGCUCUCUGCUAUGGCCAGGGAGUGCAGUGGAGGAUGGCCCAGGUGCUUGGGCCCUGCACCCCAUGGGAGACCAGGAAAAGCACCUGGAUCCUGGCUCCUGCCAUCGGAUCAGCGCGGUGCGCCGGCUGCAGCGGCGGCCAUUGGAGGGUGAACCAAUGGCAAAAGGAAGACCUUUCCCUCUCUGUCUCUCUCUCUCACUGUCCACUCUGCCUGUCAAAAAAAAAAAAAAAAAAAAAAGCAAGAAUAGAACAAGGUGGUUUAACAUUGAGAGGUAACAUACUGGCACAGCAGGAAAUGGAACCACCUUCUAAAUUCUCAAAUUUAUACCCAGCACACAAAAUUGCAUUUUUAAGUGAGUUUUUAAUUCAAGGGGAAACUACACACCGGGCAUGCUUUCCACAAGAGGGGGGGAAUAAAUACUUUUUUCUGUGUCUGGAGAAUGGGUGGGACUCAAGUGUAGACUUCUCUGGAUGGCUGUUUGGAUGAUGCAAAGGGGUCCUAUGUUAUGGCACAGAAGAUGACAUCGCUGGAAGUUAAGGUUAGUUGUUUUAGUUACUUUUUUUUUUUUUCUUAUCUUUCCCUUUGGAGUAAAGCAUAUAUCUAGGUACAUGUAGGUCUCCAUCCAUUCUGUUGUAGAAUUGCCCUUUGGACACUUGAUACCACAAAGAAAUCAGAACUGCUUAAUUACAGCCUUAAUAUUGUUAACCAAAGUGAACAGGGCAGUCAUCCCUAGGAGGAAGUACAAAAUAGUUCUAAGCACCAGAAAGUUGGUUCAUGAAUGCCUUUGGAGUAUUUUGCCCACUUGAAGAGGUGUUCAUGCCAUAACGCAUUGCUAAUCGCUGUGGGUCUGCCCGUGUGUAUUGCAUCCGAGGUCUGUGCAUAUAUGGGGUGAAGUGUCUGUUGUGCCCUGUGUUUUACUGCUGCAAAUGCCAACAUUUACUACAGAAGUGUCUGCAAGUAGAUAAAGCAUCUUGCUUGUGAUGCUGGUUUUCCCCCCCUAGUUUACAUUUCAAGAUGCAUUUGUCACCCAGUUGCCAUGGAAAUGGCCAGUGGAGUAUUUUGGAGUAUUUUGCUUUGUGUGUGGGAGCAAUGGUAAUCUUUCACCUGCAAUUGCAUGCUGUCAGGCUUCAGAAAUGCCAGGUACAGAACUCCUUUGAAGAUCAGACAGUAAAGUUUUACUAAAUUUUUCUAAUUAAAGUGGCACUGUAAAGAUUUUAAUUCCUGGAGAUAAGUAUUCCUGCCCACCUGUAUGAGGGAGCUUCAAAGGGUUUAUAGACAAUGUAUCCUGUGGGAAAAUGUCAUGGAUUUCAAAUAUUUUUAUGCUAUUUGCCCAGAAACACUGAAAGGCCCUUGUAAUUAGGUACCAUGGAUGCAGGUGUUUUGUUUGUUUGUUUGUUUUUUGGUGUACUAUUGAAAUACAGUACUAAUCCUAUUAGUAGGGCUCUUGGUGCCUUAUUUCCAUCUGUAAGUAGGCACUUGAUAAAAUAAAUUGGGCCAGUGAGCAUUGGAUCCCUGUUUUUCAAAUGGUGAGUUGCUAAUGUGGAGAUUUGGUAGUUCCUAAUGUAGUCUUCACCUGCUGCUCCACAGUGGCAGCUCUAAUUCUUUAGAUGGUGUUGCUAGUGGGACAAUAGGUGUGGUAGCUGGGCAAGUUGGCCACAGAGAACACCUCAAGCCUAUGCUUUGCCUAGUUUCUGUGGUCAAAUAGGGUAGCAAUGUUGUGGAGCUUGCAUUUUGUUUGCAGAUGAUGCUCACAGACAUGUAACACUACAUGUAAAUGGACUUCCCCAGUUGUCCACUUUUAGUUGUGCUUUCAAGGAGGAUAUUAUUACAUGCUGUUUUCUGGGAUUUUAAUUUAAGGUGUGUUUGGAACAUAGUCCUCCAGUUUUACAUACCUAAAGGCUUUUGUGCAAUGUUCUCAUUAUUUUCCUCUCAAUUUUGCUAAUGUUAAAUAGGCUCCAGUACCGGUCUUUGUCUUACAAAUUUAAAUGUAGUUUAAAUGUAGUUUGCACAAAAGGUUGUCCUCACUGGGUCACCCUUUACAAAUUAAGUGGACUAGUAAAAGUGAAGAAAUUUCCUUACUAUAGCACUAAUAAAAUUGGAAACCAGUAAUUCAGUAAUAAAGCCAUUUGAUGGAGCAACUUUCAUUUGUCCUUUAAAUGUCAGAGUAUUUAGGCCCUUUUCAUUCUGCCUGAACAUCUGAUAAUCUUGUGGUUUGUUACCAUUGCCCUUUGCAAGUAACUAAACACCACUUCUUUUUGGUAGCAUUCAUUUUUAUGGCAUAUUUUUAGAAUUUUAAAUUUGAGUCUCUUUAGGCAACUUGGUGACAACAAAUAAGCCGGUAAUUUUUUCCUGUGGUGUAGUCAUUAAAAAGUGCCUUUCGAAUAAGUCUUAAAAAUUUGAUUCAAGGGUAGUUUUAGAUAUUGCUUAUUGGUACCGUAAUUGUCUCUGGUUCCCUUUUGUGUUACAGUUGUCAUUUUUAUAAGGUACUCAAAAGCUUUGGAAAUAGUGGUCAGUUCUGUUUUAAAUGUAUUUGCUGCCAUCUGGUGGCCGCAAAUGAAGAAAUUUAUUGGCAUGCAGUAAGACAUCGUUCCACAUGGGUGCGCCCUUGGUAAAAGAAUACACAUUUCUCGAUUCUCCUUCCUUUCCUUGCUGCAUUACCAAAUGAUUGAACCUUUCAGAGUUACUAGUGUGUUUGAUUGUGUCCAACAUUACAGAAUUUGUUUCUAUUAUUUGAGAUGUUAAGGGUGCUAUUUAAUGUUUCCUGUAAGUGGCUCCCCAUCAUUGAGUACCUCUAAAAUUUGUGAAUUCAUAUGGGCAACCAACUGACAGUAGAAGUUAAAUAGUAUGUGGUUUGUUCUUAGUUUGGGUUAGUGGCAGCUUGAAGAUUCUUGAGGGAAUUCUGAUUUCAGCAGUUAGAUACUGCUGGUGUCAUGUUAUUGUUUGUACCUUAGUUUCAGUUACAUAAUACGUAAAGUGGUGGAUUUGCUGUUAAUAAAAGUAGAUUUCAAAGUUUUUGUUUAAUUUGAAAUGCAGGGUUAGUGCAAGAGAGAGGGAGAGAGCUUUCCUCUGCUGGUUUACUCCCCAAAUGCCCUACACAGCAGGUGCUGGGAACUCUCUCUGGGUCUCCUGGUAACAGAGGCUUAGCAUUUGAGCCAUCAUCUGCUGUCUUCCAAGGAGGAUGUUAGCAGGAAACUGAUAGAAAUAAAUCAAUGUGGGGCACAUGGAUGAGAGCUACAGGUGUCCCACUGUGCCAUAGUGCCUGACCCACUAUCAAAUAUUGAAGUUUCAGAGUCAUCUAGAUUUAGGCAGUACAGUGGCCUAAAAAGACUAAAGAAUAUUGGGAAAUAUUCCAGUACUCAGUACCCAAACAACAAUGUAAUCUAAUAUUAAUAUCUGAUUACAUGCCAAACAAAUAUAGCUGGAAGUUUAUAGUGUUUCCACACUCAGGGACAUGAGUGACAUUCAAAUUUGUAAGAGGAAUUUAUAUACAGAGGCUCCUGCACUUUAAAACAUUUUUAAGGCAAAAAAUAAGGACUGUUUUGUGGUAGUGUCAUAAUUUUAUCCUCCGUUUUUCUGAUUUUUAUUUCCUUAGUAGUACCUGAAAUCCUUAGUACCAGAAAUUCUGCCCUCUGUCACUCCCUUUUGGAGACUGGCACUUAGUCCCCAUUUAGUCACCAGAAUGUCCUGUUGAAAUGCUAAUUGCACUGUUAAGAUCUCCAAUUUAAUGCUGAAAGGAGUGUGCAUUGAGUAAGGUCAUUGCAUUAUAAUGAGCUUAGCAUCUGCCUGAGGGUUUUGCAGAGUGCUUGCUUCCUUACUUGAGCUUGGUUACAGUUACUGGCUUUGGUGGAGAUUUUUUCUCUGUACUAUCUGGAACAUGCCAAGUGUCACCAGCUUGCUGACAUUAAGUAAUUUUUGUGAAGAUUUAGUGUGUUACUCCUGACUUUUGACAUGCUUGUAUUACCAAGUUCUGCCCACAGAUGGAGUUGUAGUACAGUAAUCUGAUCCCUAUACUUGUGAGCCCAAAGUAAGGUUUGUGUGUUUUCAAGUGUUUGAUUUAUUUUUUAUUUUGAUUGCUUACAGGUAUCAGAUUAUAGAGUUUGACCUAGAAAUCUAACAUGUUUAUAUACAAUUUUUAAAGUCAAUACUUAGCUGUGUGGUUCUACUUUAAAAUCAAAUUGAAUGUAUACUGAUGGUUUAUUUUCAUCUGGCACCAAAGUUAGUUGUGUUUCUCUUAAACCAGUUCAUCUUGUGAGAGCACGUUGCUUCAUAAUUCAGAGCUAUUGGAGUGUUAAAGGCUUGAUGUACCAUUGUUGUAAAAUAUCCAAGUGUUGGACAUUUUAGUAUUGUUCUUUUGUUUCAGUGCAGUUGACUUUUAUGAAGUGUGAUAGUACCUCAGUGAGCACAUGGCCGAUAAGUCAUACUUGAUGGCAGAAAGCAUGGUAUGUGUAUCAUUUCUAUUCUUGUUCUCUGGUUUCUCAAUGUUUAAAAAAUGGGUCACAAGUAUGAUGCAGUAUUGACUAAUGGUUUAGUUUUCCUGCAGUUCUCUAGUAAUCUAACAACCCCCAUUGCAUACUCCAUGGUUUGUGUACCCUCAUCUCACUUGUAGUUUCAAAUAUAUAUAUGGCAAAACUGGUCUAGGUAGUGCAGUUCAGUGUUGCAGCUUGUGUUGCUCUGCACAUUGGGGUGCCUUUGUGUUGUUUCCUUUCAAUUCAUUGUUUUUUAGAAAGGGUCCAAUAUUACCUAUUUAACCUUUUACUGCCUUAAUUUGCUAUCUGGGUUUUUGUCUGGUAGUAACACAUUAGACACUAAGUUAGCCACUGCUAACUCUGGGUUGAAGAGUUCUUAAGAUACUGUUGCUAGGGCUGGGCUGUGGCUCACUUGGCUAAUCUGCCUGCAGCGCCAGCAUCCCAUAUGGGCACUGGGUUCUAGUCUCGGUUGCUUCUCUUCCAGUCCAGCUCUCUGCUGUGGCUCAGGAGGGUAGUAGAGGAUGGCCCAAGUGCUUGGGCCCCUGCACCUGCAUGGGAGACCAGGAGGAAGCACCUGGCUCCUAGCUUCGUAUCCGCGCAGCGCCCGCCGUAGCAACCAUUUCGGGGCUGAACCAAUGGAAGGAAGACCUUUCUCUCUGUCACUCUGUGUCACUGUCUAUAACUCUCUGUCAAAAAUUAAAAAAAAAAAAGAUACUGUUGCUUCCUGUAUCAUGAAACUAUAGGCCUGUGAUUGUCACGCUGGCAAUGUUAACUACUGGAAUAAAAGUUUGAAGUCAUGUAUGAGGGGUCUUCAGAAAGUUCUUGGAAAAUGUAUAUGUAUGCUAUGAAAACUUUGUAUGCAUUUCAAAAAAUUUUGCCAUCAAAAUAAACUGAAUUGCAUUUUCCAAAAACUUUUAUUCUUAUUUUUAUUAUUAAAUUUGAGAUACAGAGAUCGGGAAGAGAGAGGCACACACAAAUCUCCCAUCUGCAGGGUUACUCCCCAGAUGCCCACAAUAGCUGGCGCUGGGCCAAGCCAAAGCUGUAAGCUGGGAAUUGAAUCCAGCUCAUUCUGGAUCUCCCAUGUAGGUGGCAGGGGGCCAUCACGUGUUACUUUUAAGAGAGCACAUUAGUAGAUGGUGGAGCCAGGAGUGGGGCUGUGACUUGAACCCAGGCACUGGAUUAGGGCAUGUGUGUGUUCUAAGGGCCAAGUGCUUGUCCCUUCUGUGACCUUUUUGAAGCACCCUCAUGUGUUUUGUAGAUAGCACAUAGAUUAUUUUUUAAAACAUUAUUCUAAAGUGUUUUGAUUGGAGCCUUUUUUGUGUUCACAUUUCAUGUAAUUACUGACAAAGUAAAAAAUUACUGAUGUCUGCUGUUUUGCUAAUUGUUUUCCAUACGCCUUUGCCUCUCUCUGCCCUCCACAUUCAUCCAUUACUGCCUUGUUAAAUAUUGUGUCUAUUUCAGUUCUCAUUUAUUUUAUUGUAAUUUUUGAGGAUUUUAAACAUUCUUUUUGUGUAGUUGCUCUGGUAUUGCAAUUUACAUUAUACAUUGAAAUAAUUCAGAUGAUUAUCAAUUUGAUUUUGGUGACAUACAAAUUAUCUUUCAUUAUGUCCACUUCUUCCUUUGUGCUAUUAUAAAUAUUACAUUUGUAUUCAGUAACAACUUCAACAAUUUCGUAUUAUUCCUGGGGGCAAUUUUUCAAAGUUGUAAUGUAAAGGCGGAGUGACAGCCACACAGAGAGAGAUUGAUCUUCCAUCCACUGGUUUAUUCCCCAAAUGACCCAACAGCCAGGGUUCGACUAGGCUGAAGCCAAUAGCAAGGAAGUCCUUCCUGGUUAUGGGUAGCAUGGACCCAAAUACUUGAGCUACUUCCUAGGGUGUGUAUUAUAAGGAAGCUGGAUUGGACUAGGAAGUUGCAAAUUGAUCCCCGGCAUUCUGAUAUGGGACAUGUGUGUCUCCAGUGCCAGCUUUUAUCUUCUGUACCACAACAUUUGCCUCUAGAUAGUUUUCUUUCAAGUCUGGUUUGAGAAGAAACUUUUUAAUUUUUUUAAAACUUUUAUUUAAUGAAUAUAAAUUUCCAAAGUACAGCUUAUGGAUUACAAUGGCUUCCCCCCCCCCCCAUAACGUCCCUCCUACCCACAUCCCUCCCCUUUCUCACUCCCUCUCCCCUUCCAUUCAUAUCAAGAUUCAUUUUCAAUUCUCUUUAUAUACAGAAGAUCAGUUUAGCAUACAUUAAGUAAAGAUUUCAACAGUUUGCUCCCACACAGAAACAUAAAGUGAAAAAUACUGUUUGACUACUAGUUAUAGCAUUAAAUCUCAAUGUACAGCACACUAAGGACAAAGAUCCUACAUGAGGAGUAAGUGCACAAUGACUCCUGUUGUUGACUUAACAAAUUGACACUCUUGUUUAUGGCCUCAGUAAUCACCCUAGGCUCUUGUCAUGAGCUGCCAAGGCUAUGGAAGCCCCCUGAGUUCACUGACUCUGAUCAUAUUUAGACAAGGCCAUGGUCAAAGUGGAAGUUCUCCCUUCAGAGAAAGGUACCUCCUUCUUUGAUGACCCAUUCUUUCCACUGGGAUCUCACUCGCGGAGAUCUUUCAUUUAGGUUUUAUUUUUUUUUUCCCCAGAGUGUCUUGGCUUUCCAUGCCUGAAAUACUCUCAUGGGCUUUUCAGCCAGAUCGGAAUGCCUUUAGGGCUGAUUCUGAGGCCAGAGUGCUGUUUAGGACAUCUGCCAUUCUAUGGGUCUGCUGAGUAUCUCACUUCCCAUGUUGGAUCAUUCUCUCCCUUUUUGAUUCUAUCAGCUAGUAUUUGCAGACACUAUUGUUUAUGUGAUCCCUUUGGUUCUUAGUCCUAUCAUUGUGAUCAAUAGUGAACAGAAAUUGAUCACUGGGUCUAGUGAGAUGGCAUUGGUACAUGCCUCCUUGAUGGGAUUGAAUUGGAAUCCCCUGGUAUGUUUCUAACUCUUACCGUUUGAGAUAAGUCAGCUUGAGCAUGUCCCGAAUUGCACAUCUCUUCCCUCUCUUAUUCCCACUCUUACAUUUAACAGCAAUCACUUUUCAGUUAAGUUUCAGCAUUUAAGAAGAAUUGUGUAUUGAUUACAGUAUUCCACCAAAAGUAUUAAGUAGAACAAACAAAAAAAAAUACUAAGAGGGAUAACAUUAGGAACAAAAAUAGAUUUAUUCUGUCUUAAAAGGCAGAGUUGUUGAGAGAUUUUUCAUCUGCUGGGUUACUCUCCAAAAGACACAACUUCCAGAUCUGGGCCAGGAAUUGCAUCCAGGUCUCCCAAGUGUGUGGCAGAGGCCCAAGCACCUGGGGCAUCUUCUGCUGUUUUCCCAGAUACUUUGGCAAGGAGAUAGAGGGAAAGUCUGCCAAGACUGAAUGGGUGCUCAUAUGGAAUGUCAUUGUUAUAGGCAGUGGCUUAGCCAGGUGCCCGCAAUGCCCCCACCCCCAUUCUUUUUUAAUUAUGUAAUUUUACUGGUGCUGUUUACUUUCCAUAUGUUAUUUGCUAUUUAAAGUGCUUUGAUUUUUGCCCAUAAGAAUACUGCUCAGAAUUUCUUUUAUGGCAUAUCUGGUAGCAUUGAAUUCCUUUCUGGUUUGUUUACUUAUGAAUAUCGUAAUUUCCCAUUUCUUUUUCUUUUUUUUUUUUUUUUUAAGAUUUAUUCUUUUGAAAGAGUUACACAGAGAGAAGGAGAGGCAGAGAGAGAGGUCCUCUUUCCAUCAGCUGAACAGGUCACUCCCCAAUUGGCUGCAAUGGCUGGAGCUGGGGAGGAAAUUUCUCCGGGACUCCCACGCGGAUCAGGGGCCCAAGGACUUGGGCCAUCAUGUACUGCUUCCCCAGGCCAUAGCAGAGAUGUGGAGCAGCCAGAACUAGAACCGGCGCCCAUAUGGGUUGCCGGUACUGCAGAAGGCAGCUUUACCUGCUAUGCCACAGUGUGGGCCCUUCUCAUUUCUUAACGGUGAAUAGUUUUGCUGGAUACUUAAUUUGCAGUUGACAGAAAUUUUUUUUAAAAGAUUUAAUUAUUUAUCUGAAAGGCAGCUGUCUUCCAACAGCUGACUCACUUCCCAAAUGGCUGCAAUGACUGGACCUGUUCUGAUCUGAAGCCAGGAGCUUUCUCUGGGUUUCCAAUGCAGUUGCAGGGGCCCAAGGACUUCAGCCAUCUUGCACCGCUUUUCCAGGCUAUAGCAGAGAGCUGGAUCAGAAAUGGAGCUGCCAGGACUCGAACUGGAACCCAUAUGGGAUGCCAACACUGCAGGUGGCAGCUUAACCUGUUAUGCCGCAGUGCCUGCCCCUGACAGUAAUUUUUCUUAAGCAGUUUGAAUAUAGUCUACUGUCUGCUCUUUGAUUUAUAAGAAUUAUUGUGGCCAGACAGCAUGCUGCUAUGCUUUCCUAGAUGUCUAGUUUUAGUAACUUUAUGUAUUAGGGUAAAUCUCUCAUUUUUUCCCAAGAUUUGAUUAUUAUUCUCAUAGUUAUUUCCAAUGUACCUUAAAAAUAUUUUGUUGAGUAUUAAGCACAAGCAGCAUUGAAAUUCCCAUUGCAAUGACACUGAAUUGAUAGAUUAAUUUCCAGAGAGUUAUAACUUUCAUAAUCUUCCCGUACAUUAACGUGACAUUUCUUUGCUUUUGUUCAGGGCCUCACUAUGUGAGUAUAUCACUUAUUACCUUCCAUCUCAGUUUCUGAAGGACAUAGAUGUCUUAGGAAUUCUUAUUCUGAUGGGAAAAUAUAGAAGAUGGUGUUUGCAUGGUUUAUAGUCCAACAGUACACAAGGUCACUCCAAAUAUAAUUUGGAUUUUAUGUUACCAUUUUUUCCCAGAUGUCUCUAGGAGCCCACAUUGAUGCGAUAGCUAGUGUUACAAUUACCUAGUAAGCUGUUUGUAUUUAGUUAUGUCAGUAUUCGUUUGACCUUUCUUCCAUCCUGCAAGCUACUGGAGAUUUAGUGAUCAUUGUUUAGAAGAGUUGGAUUAGUUGAAGACCGUUAAAUCUUCCAGUGUAGCACCAACUUGUAUUCUUACUAGAAAUGUAUUUAUAACUAAGGAGGGAUAAAUUCUGUUGUAGUUGAUGGGUUUAUUUCAAUUCUAAGAGUAAACUCUGAGAGAGGUAGAAGAAAACACUCAGGAUAUAGAGUGCGGUCAACUGUCCAGGGAUGCAAGUACCCUUGGAGUUGAUACCCAGAAGCUCGUAAUCGCAUUUGGAAAGCAAUUUGAGGAUCUCCCCGCAUGGAGUGAGAAGUUGGAUUACACGCACUUGAAAGUCACUUUUUUUGCUGAGAUUCUAUAAAGGUUCCAAUUAACAAAUGAAAUGGAUUUUUAUUGUAUGCCUGUCUCACAUGUUCCCAUUUAAUCAUCACUACAACCCUCUGUGGCAUGCCAGAGACCUACAAUAAGUUUGCUAAGGUAACUUACUUAAUUAAUGGCAAAGCAUACUACUCUCUCACCAUACAACUUAGAUUACAAUAGUAAUUCCUUAAAUUUGUAUAGGACUUUACCAUUUUACAAGCAUGUCUUUUUUAUUAUUAUUAUUUUUUAGUUUUUUGACAGGCAGAGUGGAUAGUGAGAGAGACAGAAAGGUCUUCCUUUUGCCAUUGGUUCACCCUCCAAUGGCCGCCACGGCUGGUGCGCUGCGGCCGGCACACCCCGGCCGGCGCAUCCUGCUGAUCCGAAGGCAGGAGCCAGGUGCUUCUCCUGGUCUCCCAUGGGGUGCAGGGCCCAAGGACUUGGGCCAUCCUCCACUGCCUUCCCAGGCCACAGCAGAGAGCUGGCCUGGAAGAGGGGCAACCGGGACAGAAUCCGGUGCCCCAACCGGGACUAGAACCCGGUGUGCUGGCGCCGCUAGGUGGAGGAUUAGCCUAGUGAGCCGCGGCGCCGGCCACAAGCAUGUCUUUAUUUGAUCUUUAAAGCAAUCUGGCAAAAUAGAAAAAGCAUUCCACCAGUGUGUCUAUUAAAAAAAAAUUUUUUUUUUUUUAAUUUGAGAGGCGGAGAGGGACCUGGAAAGCUUUCAUGUGUUUGUUCACUUCCAUAAUGCCUGUGAUUACCAGGGCUGAGCCAGUGAUGAUGAUGCCAGGUGUCAGGAACUCAAUUUGGGUCUCCCAUGUGAGUAGUAGGAACCCAGUCAGUCCAGCCAUCAGCACUGCCUCCCAGGGACUGCGUUAGCAGGAAGGAAUUAUUAACUAGAGCCAAGAAUCAAACCCAAGUACUCCAAUGUGGACAUGGGCAUUUUUCUGCGUAUCUUAAUUGCUUGGCCACAUACGCACCCCCUAUAUACUUAAUUCACACGUAGAAAACAGGUUCAGAAAUUCUUUGGAAUAUGUGCGGGUAGAAAGGAUCCAUGAGAACAUUUCAUUACAACUUUCACAUUUUGCAGUUGAUGAAACUUGAAUAAUAGACGUCUACAUGCUUUGUAGGUACUGUUUUAGGAAGGGGAAGGUCAGACUAAAUGAUCUCAUGGGAUUUGUGGGGAGGGAUGUAUUUGGAUUCACUGUAGGGUAUGUACUUGACUGAUAAUAACCAUAUUUAAAGGCAUCAAAUAUUUAAGGGAGGAUUUAAAACUUCAAGUAUUAAGUUGUAGAAGAUAAUUUGAGGCUGGUGCCGCGGCUCAAUAGGCUAAUCCUCCGCCUGCGGCGCUGGCACCCCGGGUUCUAGUCCCGGUCAGGGCGCCAGAUUCUGUCCCGGUUGCCCCUCUUCCAGGCCAGCUCUCUGCUGUGGCCAGGGAGUGCAGUGGAGGAUGGCCCAAGUCCUUAGGCCAUGUGCCCACAUGGGAGAACAGGAGAAGCACCUGGCUCCUGGCUUCGGAUUAGCGCAGUGCGCUGGCCGCAGUGGCCACUGGGGGACGAAUCAACAGAAAAAGGAAGACCUUUCUCUCCCUCUCACUGUCUACUCUGCCUGUCAAUAAUAAUAAUAAUUUGAGUCAUGAGAUCUUUGCCCUUAAAAGCAUUUAAAAUAUUUCCUGCUCCAGGUUCAAAGAGCAGCCUAUUAAAGGGCCACCAGAUAAUGGGUUAUGUGAUAAGAUUUGCAAUCAAUUCAGUAUGGAUAAUAACAAGGUUUCAGUUCUUUUUCAUAGCUAUGGGAGCCACCAUGCACUCAUGGGCCUGAUACUGGCUCAGAGUUGUGGCUGUUACUAAGUUCCAGAGCAAGCCUAUGCUUAGUCAUUUGUUUCACAAAGGUUGUUUUUUUUUUUUUUUUUUUUCCAAAAGUGGAGGCUUUUGUACAGAAGACCUAAUUGAGGAAGAAAUGGCCUUAGUUAUUUGUAGUGUCUAAAUUACUUUAUUUUGCCUAGAGAAUUUUUAAGUAUUUAAAGCUAAACCUACAAAUAUAUACAAUAUUUUGAAAUCUCAACAUUUUGGUAUUUUUUUUACAAAGCCAUAGCAUCAUAAUGUUCUUUGGGAAAUUUUGCACUGAUUUUUGGGAUUCAGAACAUGGCUUUCUGUGUCCAGAAUGCUUAGGAGGGAGAUUGUGUUUAAGUGGAACAGUGUUUCUCAGAGGACCUUAGCAAAUUUGUCAUCCUGGAGGGACCUAGGAGGAGUAAGAGCACUUCAGGAAGUAGUAUAGUGAGAAUUUGGGCCUUGAGACUGCAUAGCUUGGGUCAUAUGUGCUCUCACACCUACCACUGUAUUCUUGAGCAUGAUUCCCCCAGCUUUUUGAAACUUUAUGUUUUCUCUUUUGUAAAGUAGAAUAAUUGUUUCCAACGGUAGGGUGAAGUAAGGACUUCAUGGAGCUAUAUAUGUAAAUCACUUAGAACAGGUCUGGAAUAUAUUAAAUGCUUAUCGACUAUGAUUGUUGUUGAUAACAAUAUUUGAGUAUUAACAAAGAUUAAAAGAAAGUCUCUUUGAAACAUUUAUAUUUGUUGAUAUUAGGGUUGAGAAAGAAAAACUAACUGGCCUCAAAAUUUUCCAUGGCGUGCUAGUGUCAAGUCAUUUGAACACAUUUUCUCUACCAGGUUGACCCAGGUGAAGAUAGUUCAUGCUCUGAUAACAGAUGUACAUUGCCUUGGCUCUUACUUCCCCAAGGAAUCCUAUUUAAAAGUUGUGUGUCACCUGCAUAAAGGUUACCGGAAAAAAAACAGAAGAAUGCUUUGUAGUUGGUCAGAACUGGAUUUGAAAUCCAAUUCAACUGCUUACUAGCUGUGUUAUCUAAGGCAUGUUGCUUAACCUUGAAUCUUCAUCUAAUGCAGCAAUUAAUUUUCAGGGUUUCUGUGAAGAUAUUUGUAAAGUGUAUGUCAUAGGCAAGCUUUAUACAUUACAGCUAUUCUUGCUAGUUCUUGGGACUUUCACCGUGUGACAGAAACAACAGCAGGCCCUGGUGCCUGCAAGGACUUCAUGGAUCCAGCAGCAACUUGGAAUGGUGCUCCUCUGAAGAAAUCCUACUUGGAUGGAUAUAAUACAACCUGCUAAGUGUCCUAGCACUUAGCAGGUUGUAUUAUCAUUGUCCGAGUCUAUGGUUCUCCGUCUGCUAGACUAAAUUCCUUAAGGGCAAGGACAGUGCCUUAUUCAUCUUUGUAUUCACAGUGCCUAAUCCGGUGCACAUUGUAGGCCUCAUUAAAUGUUUGUUGAAUGAAAAAAUGAAUCAUCAACAGACAUUAAUUGGGCGCCUGCUCUGUGAUCUCCAUGGGCUCAGCUUGUCCCCGCCAGUUGCCUACAACGUCCAAGCUCUUCAAGUUUCUGAAGUUUACUUGUGUCUUCUAAUUCUCACACUGAGGACUUUUUUGUGUAGUGCAAUGAUAGCAAUACAUUUCAUCUUGAAUUCCAUCUCCAGUUGAUUGGUAAUGCCUGCCUUAAGUAUGUUUUAUAAAAAGGAUUCUGAAACCAAGUCUCAUGUAGUAUAAAAGAAUUGUAAAUAAUUAGUGAUGUCUGCCGUGGUUGGGAGAAGGGGUAGUAGCAGCACAAGUGCCUCAAAUAUGUCAUAUUUGAUGCUGUGUUUUUAUGAAAUACUCUGUGCCUGCCUUUUAAUCUUGGCUGCUUGCAGAUGUUGCAUGGCUGCUUCUGCUGUUGCUAUAAUUGCUGCUAGUUGCUUCCUAGUUGAGGCCAAAGGGGUCAUUAGUUGAGCAGGAACUACAUCCCCAUAGUCUUGGGUUUGCUCCUGUGGCUGGCGUUCACAGUUUUCCCCUUUCAACUUUACCCCAAAUAUCUCCAUACUUGCAUUGACAGAUAGGACUCCUCUUUCUGUUUACCACCCUGCGGGCUCCUAUUUCCUUUAUCAUAUUUAGUAUGCCCAGUCAUUAUUCCACGAGAAGCCUUUCGGUUUACAGUUGUGAUAAGCACACUGGGCCAGGAACAAAAGGCUUCGGUGACUGAGGAGUGAUCUGGAGGUGGACAAUGUCACAGAUGUUAGAGAAGAGAGGUUGCAGUCUACUAGUAUAAGACUUAGAAGAGUGUUGGGAUCCGGGUGACCUUUUCCUUUACUGAGUUCUUGCUCUGUUUCUUUGUCUCUUUGGGGUCUCACAUUUCAUGUGUGCAAGAAUGAGCAGCAAUCCCUGAUGAGGUUAUCUGCUGGCCCUUCGGCCUGCUGUUAUCCUGAGACCAUCUCCCAACUCUUUGAAAGAGCAGCAGAUUGGUCAGCUUUAAAUAGCAUACAAAGAUUUCCUUUGGAACCAAAUGUUUCCCUGUCCUUGACUGUUAGUUAAAUGGUGCUGUCUUAUCUGAAGCGCCAUCUUAGGCUCUGGCCCAGUCGCCAUCUUGCACAGUAAACUUUGGUUGGUCCUAAUCCCAGCCUGGCUUACUAGAAGACAGGUGGCCAAAUGGCCCGAACACAAGGGUCAACUCCACCCCACACUAAAGAAAUAGGCUGCUCCCACUUCCUUAGCCCUGCAAAGCUAUAACAAAGCCUGCUUUCCUACACAGGCCCUCUUUCUCUUUUCGCUCUCUUGCCCUCUUUCGCCAGCCUGUUGGGGUUCUCCCCCGCAAAAUAAACUUUUCCUUUAACUGGUGUUUGGUGUGUUUUGUAGUGGCGUUUCAUUGACUUGAGUUCAUUACAUCUUACAAGUUUCAUUGGCCAAUGUUUCAUAAUGUGUUCUGACUUGCAAGUCUGAGUUAAGUGAAUUAAUGCUGCCCUCCUGGAAAAAAAUAUGUACAGUAUUUUAAAGAUACUCAGAUUUAUUUGCCAGAGCAAGACAAACUGCUGUUAAUGAUGAAUUCUACUUUUAGGAUAGACAUGAGAAUGAUCAGAUUUACAGGUGAGUAAGAAAACCACUUUGUAAGAGCCCUUAAAGGGUUAGGAUACAUCCAUUUCUGUGACCCAUAUUGUAGUACUUCCCUGUAGUAUUGGGAAAUAGAGCUGGAACUUUGAGAAAUGGCCUCAAGGAUUUGGAAGGUAAAGUUUAGAAGACAGUCUGGAUCUCUUUACAUUACAUGCCGACAUUUUUUUCUUCAGUACAUUUUUUUUUAUUUGUGGGAAAGGAUUGGAUUCUGUUAUAAUCUCUCAGUGAGUCAAUAUUCCAAGAAAGAUCGAAGAAUGUGUUUAAGUCAUGAAGCUCUGAGGCACCCCAUCCCCUGUAGGGGCUACUUUGUAUUUAUUCCUCAGGAGGAGCUGGUAGAAGCCUUCGCGUGAGGGAGAAGAAAAGCACCAAGGAUGACUACAGCCUCUCUUCAUCACAGCUAACCAAGGAUCACUCUCUUGAGACUCUCCAGUCCUCAGGUAGCUGUUUUCAAUUGCAUACUUAGCCCUCUCUUUCCUCCUGUUCAGAAAGUAUAGCAUACUCAUGAAUAUGUGUGGAUGAACUGUUACUUCCCCAAAAAAGCUGCCCAUGGUCACUACAAAAAAAAAAAAAGCCCUAAAAUAUGGUAGAGUAUAUGCUCUUGUAAGCCUGGAGUAUAGGCCACCUGAGAUGAGUGUCAGCCACAAAGGCCCCCAGUUUCACUGAUUUGAAGGUAAUCCAAUCUCUGCUCAUUUUCUUUUGUUUCCCUCUUAAACUCUAUGCACUGCUCUGGCCCAUACAUAUGCCAAUGGGAGCUGGGCUCUUAAAUUAACAUUUCCUUUGCAUUUCUUAAGACCCAGAGUGGUUUGAAUGCUGAGGCUGAGGUUGUAUUUGCUGUAGUUGGGUAAUUUUCAUGUUGAUUAGUGUGAAACCCAUUCUUCCCCCUUAAGGCAGCCAUUGGAGAAGUUGCCCCAGGACUUGCUCCUGGAAGUUUUAACUGAUAAUGAAAUGUCAGUAGGAGAACUUUCCUCAACCCAGCCCCCACUUCUGACUUGGCCAUCAACUAUUACGACUUUAGGACAGAACUCUUAGGAGUGAACUGUCAGCAGUUCUGCUGAGAUUUUUGCCUUUUUCAGGGCUAAGCAGGAGAAGGUAUGAGAGAAAUGGAAAGUCUUGUGCCUUUCAGUUAUGUUUCCAGUGAAUCCCCAGCACACUCUUGUGGGGCCAUAUCCUAGAUCUUCUCUUCCUCUUGCUCUCACUAACCUCCCUCCAUUUCUUGCAGGGUUUCUUCAGGUUUGUUUCUCUUGCCUUCCCCUUAAAGUUAUCUGGAACAGCCUCCAUCUGGGGGGAGCUUUACUGUGCAUGAAACCUCAGUGAGUGUUGAGACUGAUGUCCCUGUUGCUCUCUGGAUAUAAGAAGGCAGUGAAAUGCCUUAAUCAACAUUUUUAGUGGACACUGAACCUAGAAGCUUUGAAGGAAGCAAACUUGAGAACUCUUGAUAUUUGAGUGAAGACAGAGUGAACUCUUUAUUGCCUUCAGGAAUGGAGGGAGGGAGGAGAGGGCAUAAAUGCUCUACUGUGAUGGAGCAGGCAGUGAUUACUUCAUAAAUCUAUAACUUUUAUAAGUUGUUGCCCAGCACUACCUCUGCAGCUACUUGUGAGAGUCACUGCCAGCCACUAUUUUAGGUUGGUUGGGAUGCCUUGCGGUAAGUUUCUGUUCCCCCAAUGGAGAACCCAGGACAAGGUUUGCAACUUUGAAGAUUUCUCUCAUCAGGCGUCAAGGUGUCAUGGACAUUGACCAAAGAAACCAAAUAGCACUCAAGGCUUUGGGUAGAAAGGCAUACAGUUUAUUUACUAGACUCAUGUCUCAAGACUCAAACCCUAAUCCUCUGUCAUUCUCUACUUGAAUACUGUAAAUUUAGCAAGGCAGUAAAGAAGCAGUUUUGAGACAGUUUGGGGCAGUUUCAGGGCAAUUUAAGUUGAGCACACUGUUUUCUUAGGCCCUCAGGGACUAACAAAUCACAAUUGCAAAGUAGGAUAGCUUUAUAAUAUAGUACCCAGUAAAUUAUAACUUAAAGACAGUUUCAGGAGGCAUGCAACUAUCUUAGGUAUGAGGUGAGGCCCUAGGUAUGCAACUGACUGGUGGUUGGGGAACCGGUUUCUAACUCAGUACUGGUUUGCCCUUUGAAAAUGAGUGGUAGGGAGUCUGCAGCAUUCCCUUGAAUGCCAUGGCUCCUUAAUGGCAAGCAGGAUUGGGUGGGGUCUGUAGCAGGACUGAGGAGGCAGCAAAAGCUGUACUAAAUAACCAUUUUUUUUUUAAAUACAUGGGUCAAGUACAGUGGACAGAAUGGCUCCAGGCAUGCCCAAAUACCAUAUCUGGCACAAGGAAACCAACAAGGAAAGGUCCAUUUUUUAUCCUAUUAUUUGUUAUUCCCCAGGGCAGGAUGGAAUGUCUGAAAUAAAAAGAAGAGCUACUUUGGAGAAGGUUGUGAAAGAUUCUUAAAUAGAGAAGGUUUAAAAGAGAAACUGUAUUACAUAAGGUUGGUAUUACAAGUUUUUUUUUUUUUUUUUUUUAAAGAUUUAUUUUAUUUGAAAGGUAUAACAAUACACAGAUGGGGAGAGAGAUAGGGAGUGCCACUAUCUGCUGGUUCUCUCACAAAAUGGCUGCAAUAGCCAGAUCUAGUCCAGGCUGAACCCAAGAACCAGGAACUCCAUGCAGUUCUCCCACAUGGGUGACAGGGGCCUAAGUACUUGGGCCAUCAUUUGCAGCCUUGCUAGGCAUCGUUAGCUGGAAGCUGAAUCAGAAGUAAGAGUAGCAGGUACUUGGACUGGCACUCUAAUAUGACAGUGUCAUUAGUGGUAGCUUAACCUACUGCGCCACAACACCAGCCCCUUCUUAGAGCUUUUAAAGAUAUCUGUUCUGUGUGUGGGUCAAGUAAUCUGAUCGCAUAAUCAGCUUGUGGCUUACAAGGCCAGUUUAGCUGAUAGAUUUUAUGCUCUUGUGGUGAUGGUGCCAUCCUCUCUUGCACUGUGGCAGGUAUAUAUUGCUAGUGAGUGCAGCAGCUGAAGGAGAGGACAGCAAGCACCCAGUGGAGAACAAUAUGUCUUUACCAGUGAAGAUAGCAACUGAAAAGAUCAUGGGGUUGGCUAGAUUGCACUGGACCUUUUUUUUUAGAUAAAGGAUUUUUUUGUUGAUAAUAAAAAUAGAUUGUCAUUGUGAAAAAGUAAAAGACAUAUAAUUUUAUAAGUCAGAAAAUAACAUUUUGUUAUUUAACAAAAUAACAUUUGGGCAUAUUUAUUCUCAGUCUUAAAAAUAUAAUAUAGCAAUUUUGCUAUGCAAUUUUGCUAUUUUUAACAAUUGACCUCAUUCAUAUUACAUAUAUUAUUUUAUUCUUCAAUGUUUUGCAUCUGAAAUUUUGCAAGCAUAUUUGCUUGUCAUUAUUGUUCUUUAUAUUAAGUGCAUAAUAUGUGGACCUAAUGAAAUUUAUUUAGAUGUUACCAUGUUGCUGGUCAGUAACAAUUUUGUAAUGAAGAUCAUUGAACAUUAAUCUUUAUGUGCAUCUUUAAUUAUUUAUGGUAAAUUUCUAUCAUUGGAAUUAUUUGGUUUGAGAACUUUAUUAGGGAAUCUAAAAGGUGCUGUUAUUGCCCUCAACACAGUUGUACAAGUUACAUUCCCAACAGUAGUAUAUAAAUGGGAAUGUUUCUUCACACACUCACUAAAACAAUCACCUUUCUCUUUUUAUAAAUCUCUGCUAUUUUGCUAAGGAAACAGACCUUUGUCACUUUAAAUGUGUUAUUUCUAAUUUCUAUCUGGUAGAAUUCACUGUUGAUGGAGUACAGUUCUGUGGGUAAAAGUCAUGUGUAUCCCCUCCAGUUCCAUGUGGAAUAGUUCUAUCAUUGUCAUAAUUUCUCUUGGUGACUGUUCUUGUAUUCAACCACUUUUCACACACCCCAUCUCUGGAAAUCACUGAUGUGAUUUUGCCUUUUUCAGAAGGUUAUAUAAAUGGAUUCAUGCAUUUAAUCUUAUAUAUUUCAUAUAGUAAAAUGAAUUUCGGAUUUACCCAUAUUGUUACAUGCAUCACUAGUUCAUAUCUUUUCAUUGCUGCAUAGGAUUUCAUUUUAAGUAUACAUCACCAUUUUUAUCCAUUCACUAACUGAUAAACGUGUGAGAUGUUUCCAGUUUUGAUUGUAAAUAAAUUUACUGCAGAUGUUCCGGUA